CUACGGGUUGCUCCAGUGGGGAAUAUUGGACAAUGGGGGAAACCCUGAUCCAGCAAUGCCGCGUGUGUGAAGAAGGCCUGCGGGUUGUAAAGCACUUUCGGUUGGGAGGACUGCUUCUAGCACUAAUAUUGUUGGAAGUUGACGUUACCUUCAGAAGAAGCACCGGCUAACUCCGUGCCAGCAGCCGCGGUAAGGUACGGAGGGUGCAAGCGUUAAUCGGAAUUACUGGGCGUAAAGCGCGCGUAGGCGGCUAGAUCAGUCGGGUGUGAAAGCCCCGGGGUUAACCGGGGAACUGCAUCCGAUACUGUCUAGCUUGAGUACAGGGGAGGAGAGUGGAAUUCCACAUGUAGCGGUGAAAUGCGUAGAUAUGUGGAGGAACACCAAUGGCGAAGGCAGCUCUCUGGCCUGAUACUGACGCUGAGGUGCGAAAGCGUGGGGAGCAAACAGGAUUAGAUACCCGGGUAGUC
rnacentral:rRNA from 1 species